AUGAACGCGGGCGGCGUGCUUAACACAUGCAAGUCGAACGAUUAAGACCCCUUCGGGGGUGUAUAGAGUGGCGAACGGGUGAGUAACACGUGGGCAACCUGCCCCUCACUUCGGGAUAACUCAGGGAAACCUGUGCUAAUACCGGAUACUCCGGGAUGGUCGCAUGGCCGGCCCGGGAAAGCUCCGACGGUGAGGGAUGGGCCCGCGGCCCAUUAGCUUGUUGGUGAGGUAACGGCUCACCAAGGCGACGAUGGGUAGCCGAGCUGAGAGGCUGAUCGGCCACACUGGGACUGAGACACGGCCCAGACUCCUACGGGAGGCAGCAGUGGGGAAUCUUGCGCAAUGGGCGAAAGCCUGACGCAGCAACGCCGCGUGCGGGAUGAAGGCCUUCGGGUUGUAAACCGCUUUCAGCAGGGACGAAACUGACUGUACCUGCAGAAGAAGCCCCGGCUAACUACGUGCCAGCAGCCGCGGUAAUACGUAGGGGGCAAGCGUUAUCCGGAUUCAUUGGGCGUAAAGCGCGCGUAGGCGGCUUGUUAAGCGAGAUGUGAAAACCGGGGGCUCAACCCGCGGCCUGCAUCUCGAACUGGCAGGCUUGAGUCUGGUAGAGGAAAGUGGAAUUCCCAGUGUAGCGGUGAAAUGCGCAGAUAUUGGGAGGAACACCAGUGGCGAAGGCGGCUUUCUGGGCCACGACUGACGCUGAGGCGCGAAAGCUAGGGGAGCGAACAGGAUUAGAUACCCUGGUAGUCCUAGCCGUAAACGAUGGGCACUAGGUGUGGGGGGUUAUCAACUCCCUCCGUGCCGCAGCUAACGCAUUAAGUGCCCCGCCUGGGGAGUACGGCCGCAAGGCUUAAACUCAAAG
rnacentral:rRNA from 1 species